GGAAGAAGGUUUUCGGAUUGUAAACCUCUGUCAGUGGGGACGAUAAUGACGGUACCCACGGAGGAAGCCACGGCUAACUACGUGCCAGCAGCCGCGGUAAUACGUAGGUGGCAAGCGUUGUCCGGAAUUACUGGGUGUAAAGGGAGCGUAGGCGGGAUGUCAAGUCAGAAGUGAAAAUUAUGGGCUCAACUCAUAACCUGCUUUUGAAACUGAUAUUCUUGAGUGAAGUAGAGGCAAGCGGAAUUCCUAGUGUAGCGGUGAAAUGCGUAGAUAUUAGGAGGAACACCAGUGGCGAAGGCGGCUUGCUGGGCUUUUACUGACGCUGAGGCUCGAAAGCGUGGGGAGCAAACAGGAUUAGAUACCCUGGUAGUCCACGCUGUAAACGAUGAUUACUAGGUGUGGGGGGAUUGAACCCUUCC
rnacentral:rRNA from 1 species